rnacentral:tRNA from 1 species
GUAGAUAUAGUUUAACAUAAAAUAUUAGAUUGUGGUUCUAAAGAUAGAGGUUAAACUCCCCUUAUCCACC